AGGGUGGUCAAUGUUAACAAAUGGGGCUUCUUUAGAUUGUGCUGAUAUUACCAGUGGCUGUCACAGUAGUGCUUGUUGUACUGAUGUUAAUCAUGCUGUGAAGGAUAGCAAUGCUGUCAAUGAGUCUGAUGAUGGUUAUGAAAUGAAACUAAGAUGCCUGUUUGAUCAGGUUCUUUCAGUUUUUUCCUAUGAGGCUGCUGCUAGGGGAUGCA
rnacentral:misc_RNA from 1 species